rnacentral:rRNA from 1 species
UACGAAGGGGGCUAGCGUUGUUCGGAAUUACUGGGCGUAAAGCGCGCGCAGGCGGUCCUUCAAGUCAGAGGUGAAAGCCCAGAGCUCAACUCUGGAACGGCCUUUGAGACUAGAGGGCUUGGGUACGGGAGAGGUGAGUGGAAUUCCGAGUGUAGAGGUGAAAUUCGUAGAUAUUCGGAAGAACACCAGUGGCGAAGGCGGCUCACUGGCCCGUUACCGACGCUCAGGCGCGACAGCGUGGGGAGCAAACAGG